GACGAACGCUGGCGGCGUGCUUAACACAUGCAAGUCGAACGGAAAGGCCCUGCUUUUGUGGGGUGCUCGAGUGGCGAACGGGUGAGUAACACGUGAGUAACCUGCCCUUGCCUUUGGGAUAACUUCAGGAAACUGGGGCUAAUACCGGAUAGGAGCUCCUGCUGCAUGGUGGGGGUUGGAAAGUUUCGGCGGUUGGGGAUGGACUCGCGGCUUAUCAGCUUGUUGGUGGGGUAGUGGCUUACCAAGGCUUUGACGGGUAGCCGGCCUGAGAGGGUGACCGGCCACAUUGGGACGGAGAUACGGCCCAGACUCCUACGGGAGGCAGCAGUGGGGAAUAUUGCACAAUGGGCGGAAGCCUGAUGCAGCAACGCCGCGUGCGGGAUGACGGCCUUCGGGUUGUAAACCGCUUUCGCCUGUGACGAAGCGUGAGUGACGGUAAUGGGUAAAGAAGCACCGGCUAACUACGUG
rnacentral:rRNA from 1 species